CUUACUGUCCUAAUAUUAUGUAGAAAUUAAAUAGUUUGCUGCAAAAGAGAAAACAGGCAAGAAGUGGUAGGUCUGCUUCUCUUUUCUCAAUGCAAGUGGGGAUUUCUUUCUUUCUUUUGUUUUAUUAUUAUUAUUUUUUUUGUCAUUUCUCUUUCUGUUUCUGAUGAAGAUGUCUUCUUUUUUUUCUUCUUUUUUUUUGUAUAUUCUCUUCUUUCUUAGUUAGCAGGUCAUGUUCCUUGUUUAAAAAUAACAUAAGAAAAAGGAGUGCUGCAUCCAAGUGAGUGGCCAUGAUCGGGCAAGUUGGGGAGCUAUUAAUUAAUAUAUAGCUUGGGGUGAUCGAUCAUCAAGGCCCAGAAAAGAGAGUCAACUCAUUAAUUGGACGGUUGAGUUUUGGGCAUGUAAAGCUAAAGCAAGCAAGCUAAGCUAUUUUUGGAUGGUGUGCUACAUGUGUAUAAUGGUCAACGUAUUGAUCAUAUUCAUUCAUAUUGAGAGAGAGAGAUAGAGAGAGAGAGAGAGAGAAAGAGAGAGAUGCACCAAGAGGGAUUAAAAAUUUAUAUAUUUUUGCAUCCCGUACGUUAUCCAUAAACUCUCGCACUUAAAAAAUUCAGACUCUCAUCACGCACCAAGUGGGCGCAAUAGUUUCUGGUAGAAGAAAGAGGAGCAAGUGGGAGAGAACAAUUAAAGAGAGGUUAGCUAUUGCUUCCACGCAUGCAGAGUGGCGUUUGCUUGCACAUCUUAAUCUUAUGCAUUAUUGUUUUUGCUCUUCCCAGCUUUUUUAUUGAUCAAAGAGUACUACUAGCUAGUAUGCAUUUCUCUUCCUGGAAACUGCUGCUGUUCUAUUACACAUGUUGUGAAAUUUGUGAUUAGUUUAUACAUAUAGUUCGAGA